AUGGAGACGGAGCGCUCGGGGAGGCCCCGCUGCGGGCGCCACGCGCUGCUCUGCAUCAUUCCCAGCUGCUGCAGCGCGCGCUGCUGCCGGAGCUGGUGGUCGAUGUACCGGAGCCGGGACCCGACGCCGCGACCGCCGCCGAGCCCGCCGCCGAGCCCCUCGGCGUCGCAGUCCUCGCCCAGGGCGCGGCUGGCGGCGCGCACCUGGGAGGCGAUGGCGUCGCGGAGGCAGCGGAACUGCCGCGAGAUGGUGCGCAGCGCCAGCGCCGUGUACGUCCGCGCCGACCCGGCGCCGGCCACUGCCUCGAACGACGACGACACCGACGCCAUCUGCUGGUGGUACUGCCGGUACCGCUGCUCCACCUGA
rnacentral:rRNA from 1 species